rnacentral:rRNA from 1 species
CAUGAAUGGUGUAACGACUUCUCUACUGUCUCCAAAACUAUCUCUAUGAAAUUGAAUUUGUCGUGAAGAUGCGGCAACGCACAGUUAGACGGAAAGACCCUAUGCACCUUUACUAUAAACUUUAAUUCAAAUUGUGGAAUUAAAAAACAGCAACGUAGGAGAAAGCACUCAACAAUGUGAAACUACUUUUUAAAACUACUUUUUGUAAUUUAAUAGACUCAAUUAUAUUUUGUAUCUUAAGUAUAAGUUUGGUAGUUUGACUGGGGCGGUCACCUUCUAAAAAGUAACGAAGGUAU